ACGUACACUCCUGCGGGAGGCAGCAGUGGGGAAUAUUGCACAAUGGGCGCAAGCCUGAUGCAGCCAUGCCGCGUGUAUGAAGAAGGCCUUCGGGUUGUAAAGUACUUUCAGCGGGGAGGAAGGCAAUACGGUUAAUAACCGUGUUGAUUGACGUUACCCGCAGAAGAAGCACCGGCUAACUCCGUGCCAGCAGCCGCGGUAAUACGGAGGGUGCAAGCGUUAAUCGGAAUUACUGGGCGUAAAGCGCACGCAGGCGGUCUGUCAAGUCGGAUGUGAAAUCCCCGGGCUCAACCUGGGAACUGCAUUCGAAACUGGCAGGCUUGAGUCUUGUAGAGGGGGGUAGAAUUCCAGGUGUAGCGGUGAAAUGCGUAGAGAUCUGGAGGAAUACCGGUGGCGAAGGCGGCCCCCUGGACAAAGACUGACGCUCAGGUGCGAAAGCGUGGGGAGCAAACAGGAUUAGAAACCCCUGUAGUCCCAU
rnacentral:rRNA from 1 species